rnacentral:rRNA from 1 species
UACGGAGGAUGCAAGCGUUAUCCGGAUUCAUUGGGUUUAAAGGGUGCGUAGGCGGGCUAUUAAGUCAGUGGUGAAAUCCUGCAGCUUAACUGCAGAACUGCCGUUGAUACUGAUAGUCUUGAGUUUGGUUAAGGUAGGCGGAAUGUGUAAUGUAGCGGUGAAAUGCUUAGAUAUUACACCGAACACCAAUUGCGUAGGCAGCUUACUGAGCCGACACUGACGCUGAGGCACGAAAGCGUGGGGAUCAAACAGG